rnacentral:rRNA from 1 species
GACGAACGCUGGCGGCGUGCUUAACACAUGCAAGUCGAACGAUGACGACCGAGCUUGCUCGGUCUGAUUAGUGGCGAACGGGUGAGUAACACGUGAGCAACCUGCCCUUCACUCUGGGAUAACCUCGGGAAAUCGGGGCUAAUACCGGAUAUGAGCUCCUGUCGCAUGGCGGGUGUUGGAAAGUGUUGCGGGGAAGGAGGGGCUCGCGGCCUAUCAGUUUGUUGGUGAGGUAGUGGCUCACCAAGGCGAUGACGGGUAGCCGGCCUGAGAGGGCGACCGGCCACACUGGGCCUGAGACACGGCCCCGCCUCCUCCGGGCGGCCGCCGUGGGGCCUCUUGCCCCCUGGGCGCCCGCCUGCUGCCGCGACGCCGCGUGAGGGAUGACGGCCUUCGGGUUGUACCCCUCUUUCCGCCGGGCCGCCGCGCCCGUGCCGGUCCCUGCCGCCGCCGCGCCGGCUCCCUCCGUG